rnacentral:ncRNA from 1 species
CCCAUAUGGGACAAGCAGUUCUGAAAGUGUGUGUGUGUGCUUUGUGCGGAGGUUCGAAGAAAAUCAGAUACCUUCGUAGUUCCGACCGUAAAUGAUGCCGACCCGCGAUCGUGCGGCGUUAUUCCCAUGACCUGCCGGGUAGCGUCCAGGAAACCAAAGUCUUUGGGUUCCAGGGGCGAGUAUAGUUGCAAAACUGAAACAAAGGAAUUGA